rnacentral:rRNA from 1 species
UUGCCAGCCCGCUCAAGAAACUUAAAGGAAUUGACGGGGCCCGCACAAGCGGAGGAGCAUGUGGUUUAAUUCGAUGAUACGCGAGGAACCUUACCUGGGCUCGAACGUAAGAUGACUGUAGGUGAAAGCUUACAUCUCUUCGGAGCAUUUUACGAGGUGCUGCAUGGUUGUCGUCAGCUCGUGCCGUGAGGUGUCGGGUUAAGUCCCAUAACGAGCGCAACCCUACCUUUAGUUGCCAUCAGGUAAUGCUGGGGACUCUAAAGGAACUGCCUACGCAAGUAGUGAGGAAGGCGGGGAUGACGUCAAAUCAGCACGGCCCUUACGUCCAGGGCUACACACGUGCUACAAUGGCCGAUACAGAGGGCAGCUACCUGGUGACAGGAUGCAAAUCUCCAAAGUCGGUCUCAGUUCGGAUCGGAGUCUGCAACCCGACUCCGUGAAGUUGGAUUCGCUAGUAAUCGCGCAUCAGCCAUGGCGCGGUGAAUACGUUCCCGGGCCUU